ACAUGAGCUUUGUAAUAUCAUCACUUUUUUUUGCAUCCCCUCUACGUCGCCAAUUUGCUUUUACAUUGUAAUAAAUUAUUUCAGCUGCAGCUCUUUUUAUAUAAGUCUUCUCCAUAGUUCGUUAAGCUCUUCAUUUUCUUCACAACUAGGUCAUGCCCUAGUUGCUACAAUCACCUCUAAUUCUUUAUUCAUUGACAGUGGUCCAAUUCGUUCCAUUCUCCGUCCAAUUUGUAUCUCGCGGCUGCAUUAGACCAUACGUUCGAAGGAUGUCCAUUUCGAAGUUGGCUAGUAAAUCCUUGGCUACUACUAAAGGAAUUAUGAUGAGCGCUAAAAAUGCAAUCAACAAAAGAAAGAACAUAGUUCCGUAGCGUUGAACGAUCUUCUUACGUAAACGGUUUUGCCGCAUCGAAUAUAUGGGUGGUCGAAUUUGUUUGCUUGGUUUCAACCAAAAAAGCAUCAUCGAAUGCCAUCUAUCUAUAAACGGAAUCAAAAGUACGGGUAACAUCAGAAAUAAAAGUAAAUGACAAAGAAAGAAAUCAGCUGCAAAAAAAUUUAGUUCAGUCAUUUUGCAAAUAAGUUCUCGUGACGGCUGGGACAACGCGUGAAAUCCCAGUCCUCUGGAAUACCAUUUUCCCGUCCACCAUGCCAGGUUCGUUCCAUCGUGCUUCAACUCCCUUGUUAAAAAUAAAACUUGAAUGAUCUUAAAAAAGAAUCGUUGAAUCGCAAUUAUGCACAGCAUACUAAGCACCGUUUUCGCAAGGCACCAAGCCUCUAAAUACCAAGAUACCUCAAAGACGAUAAUAAACAUAAACACAGUAAUACCAUGAGCCAGUGCUGCUAGUACAGCUCCAAAUUUUUUGCAACAAAGAUCUAACAGAGGUCCCAUCAUACAAGCCAUUCCAGCAAAUGUCAUAGAAACUACGGCGGCAACUAUAAUUGGAAGAAAGGCCAAAAUUAAUAUACGAAGAAUCGGAUUGGUAACUUUCGAGGGAUCAGGAUUACCAGGCUGUGAAUCUAUAAAAAAAUAAGAGACAAGUGUCAAAGGAACCAGCAUUAGUGGAAUAAAUAUUUCCGUAAAAAACAUAUUCGUAAAAUGUGCCCUCGAUGUAUCGAUAACACCCUUGCUAACUGGAACCCCAAGCAGUCGUCUUUUGUAACCUGUUAUUCGAGUUCGGGUUAAACGACAAUAGCCUAUCCAUGAGUUUAUAUGAGAACGUGAAUUACCCCUUGAAAGCCAUCGAAUGAAUUCGCGGUAAUCAACAAAGAAGUCAGUCCACGAAAAUUGAUGUGGAUUAAAUAUAAAGGGACUGAUGCACAUGGCUAGCGUAGAUAUCCAAAAAUAUAUCAAGUGAGGUAUCCAGACGGUCAUUGUUCCAAACAACAGCAUCAACAACGUCCGUGACCCAAGGUAUAUAGAAGGACCCGCAAACCUCGAAAACAAUAACGAAAAAGAAAGCCUUGCUGUAGCAAAUCCUCUGCCCGUUCCAAUAUACCGUGCACCACCAAAUGAAAGAUUAGCAAUUACCGACUGUGCAUAUGUUUGGCAAGCGAAUACUUCAAACAUAGGGGAAAACGAUGCAAAGUGCUUCCCUAAACGAGUUAGGGCACGCCAUGCACCUCUUUCAGUCAAUUCCUGAACUGUCAAUGGAACAAAUGAGAUGAAAAAAACAAUGAAAAUAGAUAUAAUGCAUCUCUUCAACCAAUUUACUACUGGAUUAAGUUGAUAACAUCCUUCUGGCCUCAUUGGAACAGUAAGCUUUUGAUCAUGAUCGUAAUCGCAAACUGUUACCACAUGAUACAUUCCUCCGAGAUUCACCAAAACAACCAUGAAUAGUUGAACGGAUAGCAUGAUGAAAAUAUUGUUAAUAUGAAAACCAGGAUGUGCGUAAUAGAAGGAUAAAAAUCUGUCAAAUGGUAGUUGAGUUCCUAAGUAAUAAUAUUCACGAGACACCAUCUGCUCUCCCAUACCAGUACCAAUUUUUGUAGUGAAAUUGAGAAUUGAGCCAAAACCUAAAUCGCGACCCUUUCCGCAUUGGUAAUACUCACAAUGCUUAAUUCGUCCGCCUCUCUGAAGAGCAGUCAUUCCAGCAUAUAUGUCUUCGUUCACAUGUAAACCUUUUUGUGCUUUGGAGACACCGCCACGUGUUGUCAUGUAAAUGGCAUUUAAAAAAUCAGGGUGCCCAUAAUGCAACUUACCACCGAUUUGAGCCAUCGUUCUUGCAAAUAAUGUUCCAAAUGUUUGUUCUUUACCAGCAGCAACAUCUCCCAAAAUUCCUAUAUUUUCAGAAAAUAUAUACUCUCUUGCACCCAUGAUAGCAACUGGAUUAUUCUGGUAAAGUGCAUUAGUUUCAGCAUAGGGGUCAUUUGUUUUUAAAUCAAAAGCUUCAAAUUCAGCCAAAAUACUUCUUAUUUUUAAACACUCCUCCAAAUAAUUAUCCUGGUUGGCAUCAAUCAGUUGAAUAUAUUCACCUCUGUAAAAAGGAAGAGAUAAAUUUUGGUUAUCAGACUUACCGUCACCGAGGAUUGGAUUUCCAGAGAGUUUGAUGCGGUAUUUAGGUUUUCGUUUCUUAUUUUCAUCUAAUUCAGAAUAUCCGUCAAUCAGUGCUGCAUACAAUUGAGGUGUUGUUUCACCCUCCUUUGGAGGAUCUUCGUCUAAAUAGGCGAUCAAUAAAUCAGGGUAUGCACGUAAAAUGAACUCCGUGUUCUCUAUCUCAUCAGCAGUGAACUUUGCGUACCUCUGCAUCGAUACGCACAUUUUAAAUUUCCGAGAUGCCAUUCGAUCUAGUUCAUAUUCGAGAACAUCCAUCUGCCCUUCAAACAAUUGUGCAACAUCGGGAUUUUCAACUCUAUAAAGCAGUUUAAUAGCGCGUGAAUAAUUCAUAAAACCACUAACGGUUCGGUACAAGGUUUGACUCCUUAAUGAAGCCCAAAUUCUAGUACGAAGAGUAUACUCAGGAGUAGCGUUUUUGAAACCUAUACAAUAAAAUGGUAAAUCGUCGAAUUUUUUGUGAAGCUGCUCGGCCUUCAUUGACUCAUCUUGUGAGUUCAAGUCUUGAUUGGAAAGCGCAUCUUCUUCAGCAAGGAUUUUAGUGUCGCGAACGAAACAUUUCCAUUCAUUAGCGUGCAACUGCUUAAGGUACUCAAGUAAAGUAACCCGAGAAAGUUUAUCUUGCUCUCGAAUAAUUUCUUUCAAUGAAAGCAGUAUCUUUUCACCAUAAUGCGGCACCAAUACCGUAAAAGUAGGCAUCGCAUCCACUGGAAUGGGUUCUGGAAUUGGUGUUGCUAAAGAUUGAGCAAAAAACGAAAGUCGCCUUUCGGCCUCCGAAUGAGCAGGGAAAUAUUCGGUAUUAAACGAAGAAUCUUCCUGGGAUACGAAGAAAGUUGGUGUUUUUAAUGUUUUACUUCCAUCCCCAUCAAGAGAAUUAACUUGAUGAUAAAUAAGACGUUGAACAUGUUCAAUGGCCAAUAAAUGCUCUCUAUACAGUGAGAUAAUAAUUGAGUUCCAAAUCUGAGAUACAAGAACUUUAGGCUUAUAACUCGAAUCAACUUCAGGGGUACAAAGAAUUUUGCUGUAAAUUCUUUUUGGCAUCCUAGCAAAAAUAUUUCUCCAAGGUGUCCAUAUUGAAAUUCCCAAGAAAAAUGACCUUGCAACCGAAAAAACUGUGUUGACUAAAAUGUACCAUAAAUACGUGUCGAGGAAAAACAGUACUAGGUCAGUGACAUACAUGAUACCAAGUAGAAUCUUUGGUUGCCAUAUGCAUAGAUGAGAGCCUAGAAACGUUAUAUUGCAUAGAUAGGGCUUCAUUGUACUCAAUACGAGGAUGGGGUCUCGAAAUGACAGGGAAAGGAAAAAGUACGAUUCCGUAAAUUUUGCUCCAAACACCAGCAGCCAAAGUCCCCAUGAUACACACAUAUCGUUUAUUUGGAGACGAGCAUAAUCGGCAGUAAAGUAUCUAUUAGCUAAAUGCGUGCGUGAGGAAGAUUUGUAAGCACGAUGAAACAGAUUGUUUAAAGGCACAAGGGAAAAGUAAAUGAAUGUAAAUACAGAGAAAAUGAAAUGAACAAUUGCGACAGUUAGUCUUCCAGUAGUACGCUGCUGUUCUUCAGUUGAAAAUCCAAAAACAAAAACAGUUGGAGCGACAUUUAAGAUGAAGAACAAAAUGAGAAUUAGGAAGCGUUUUAAUAGAGGCCUAGAUCCUGGAAACUUUCGAGGUACAUGAAUCCAUUCAAAAAUAGUUGCUAAUAGCAUCAACAAAGUUGCAACAGCUCCUCCAAGGGAGACAGAAGUCCAAUGGCAUGACGGAAUUGGUUUAGGACCAACUGAUUGCCGAAAAUUCUUCUCAAUUAUAGUUGGUGAAUUAAAGACUGUGUAGUACCAAUAAGUAGUGAAAUGUAUGACCCAUAUUCGAUUAAAAUUGGUAACUAAAUGAAACCACGAGCGACUCUCAUAAAAAGUUUUAUAAAAAGCCUUU